rnacentral:rRNA from 1 species
GACGAACGCUGGCGGCGUGCUUAACACAUGCAAGUCGAACGGAAAGGCCCUGCUUGCAGGGUACUCGAGUGGCGAACGGGUGAGUAACACGUGGGUGAUCUGCCCUUCACUUCGGGAUAAGCCUGGGAAACUGGGUCUAAUACCGGAUAGGAGCCAUUUUUAGUGUGAUGGUUGGAAAGUUUUUUCGGUGUAGGAUGAGCUCGCGGCCUAUCAGCUUGUUGGUGGGGUAAUGGCCUACCAAGGCGGCGACGGGUAGCCGGCCUGAGAGGGUGGACGGCCACAUUGGGACUGAGAUACGGCCCAGACUCCUACGGGAGGCGGCAGUGGGGAAUAUUGCACAAUGGGCGCAAGCCUGAUGCAGCGACGCCGCGUGGGGGAUGACGGCCUUCGGGUUGUAAACUCCUUUCGCUAGGGACGAAGCUUUUUGUGACGGUACCUAGAUAAGAAGCACCGGCUAACUACGUG